AAUUCGAUUGAGUUUGAUCCUGGCUCAGAGCGAACGCUGGCGGCAGGCUUAACACAUGCAAGUCGAACGGGCGUAGCAAUACGUCAGUGGCAGACGGGUGAGUAACGCGUGGGAACGUACCUUUUGGUUCGGAACAACCCAGGGAAACUUGGGCUAAUACCGGAUAAGCCCUUACGGGGAAAGAUUUAUCGCCGAAAGAUCGGCCCGCGUCUGAUUAGCUUGUUGGUGAGGUAACGGCUCACCAAGGCGACGAUCAGUAGCUGGUCUGAGAGGAUGAUCAGCCACAUUGGGACUGAGACACGGCCCAAACUCCUACGGGAGGCAGCAGUGGGGAAUAUUGGACAAUGGGCGCAAGCCUGAUCCAGCCAUGCCGCGUGAGUGAUGAAGGCCCUAGGGUUGUAAAGCUCUUUUGUGCGGGAAGAUAAUGACGGUACCGCAAGAAUAAGCCCCGGCUAACUUCGUGCCAGCAGCCGCGGUAAUACGAAGGGGGCUAGCGUUGCUCGGAAUUACUGGGCGUAAAGGGUGCGUAGGCGGGUCUUUAAGUCAGGGGUGAAAUCCUGGAGCUCAACUCCAGAACUGCCUUUGAUACUGAGGAUCUUGAGUUCGGGAGAGGUGAGUGGAACUGCGAGUGUAGAGGUGAAAUUCGUAGAUAUUCGCAAGAACACCAGUGGCGAAGGCGGCUCACUGGCCCGAUACUGACGCUGAGGCACGAAAGCGUGGGGAGCAAACAGGAUUAGAUACCCUGGUAGU
rnacentral:rRNA from 1 species